UCCUUCAGAGUUGACAGAAUGUCUGCAGCGCAACACAUCAUUGCUGUGGUGGUCGUCCUCACCACUCUUUUGGGAGUGGAUGGAUCAAAUGGAUAUUAUCUGUAUAUAGUGGAUCAGUGUCCAUUCAGCUCCUGGGACCUGAAAGAUCUGGAGUACAUCCAGUCUCAUUGGUAUAACAAGGCGGAAUUAUUACGGUUCAACAGUACGGUGGGGAAGUUUGUAGGAUACACUCCAUUUGGAGUGUUUCAAGCAGAGUAUAUUAACAAUCAAACGGCCUACAUGGCACAGAUGAAGGGUGAGAAGGAGAGAUACUGCAGGAGCAAUGUCCAGAGUGACAUCAAUAACAUACUGACAAAGAAAGUUGAGCCCAUUGUGAAGCUGAGGUUGGGGAAGGCCUCCAGUGGUGGCCAUCCUGCCAUGCUGGUCUGCAGUGCGUACAGCUUCUACCCAAAGAUGAUCAAACUGACCUGGAACAGAGAUGACCAGGAGGUGACCGGUGAUGUGGUAUCCAGUGAGGAGCUGGCGGAUGGAGACUGGUACUACCAGAUCCACUCCCACCUGCAGUUCACCCCCAAAUCUGGAGAGAAGAUCUCCUGUGUGGUGGAGCACGCUAGCCUGAAGGACCCCAAGGAGUUGGUCUGGGACUCCGCCAUGCCUGAGCCGGAGAGGAACAAGAUCGCCAUCGGGGCAGCUGGUCUGGUGUUGGGCCUCGUCGUCACUGCGGCUGGAUUCAUCUACUACAAGACCAAAGCCAGAGGUCUGUUAUGAGCAACACCAGCUAAACAGCAAACAUCCAGCACAUACAGGCGGAUCUUGGUACCGAAUAACUAGAGACUAUCACAAUGCACUGAACUGAGAUGUAAUCAAGAGAUCUGUCAAGAAAUCAAAUCAGUACUGGAGACACUUUUUGUUCUUGUAAAGAUUGCUGGCUGUGUUUCACUGUCUUUUUUUCCAAACGUAUCAUAGAUACCUAAAUUACACAUAUCCCUGUUCAAUAUAUAAAAUUGUUUUGAGAGGAAGACAUUAGGGAGCUUUAAUAUUUAUUUCUAGUCAUGUUUAUACAUGUCCAGUAUGGAUAGGCCUACACUGAUGGUAAUUGAGAAAUCAAGAUUUAUAGAAAUGCGUGAUGUCUAGUCAUGUAGAAGUCCUGUAUGGAUACACUGAAGGUAAUCGAGAUCUCAAGAUUUAUAGAAAUGCGUUUCCUCUCUGUACUGGUUCACUGGAGCGUUUGUAGAAUCUGUCCAAUUUCAUUAGUGUGACUUAGCGCCCUCUGCAGGACGAUGUUAGUGACUGCAGUUAUAUUCUCCUGACAUUGUGAACUGUUGUUCAGAAUUGUUUUCUCUUCUGUUAGAUAGGUGUUAUCAAACCACUGUAUAACUAUGCUUUGCUUUAUCCUGAUUGUUUUUUAUGAAUGUCUAAGGGAAGUUAUCGGAGGUUGUAGAGCUAGUUUCAGAAAUACCAAAAGGCCUCUAUUCAUCUUUGUGAACUUAAAUUGUAUUUGUUUCAAAAUUGGUUUAAGCAAAUCAUACUGGUUGAGAUUUACGUUGUUUUGAGUUUCAACAUCCAAAUAAACAGGCUGUCACCAUG